rnacentral:lncRNA from 1 species
AGAGAUGUAGAUGAGAUGCUCGAAAAUCACUCGCGCUACUGAGGCUGAGCACCUGAAUCUACAUUAUGAGACAAUGUAGCACAUAGACAUAUAUGUGGAUCAGUACUUUGAUGAUGUACUGAGUAUAUGGGAGUGAAUGUAAUAAGUGAGCAAUAUCAUCACAAGUUAUAAAAUCAUGCAUGCUAAAUGUAAAUGACUUACGUAGGCUUGAGUAAAAUCUGAAAUCUGACGAUCAUAAAUCAUAAAUAAUAAAGCAUAUACUGUAAAUAUUGUGAGCCAUUACACUUAGUUCUGAAAUUUGCAUUAUGUUCUUAAUCUCAAAUCAUAUAGGCUAAGUAAAAUCUGAAAACUUAUUCUGAAAAUCUUUGCUGUAAGGGAAUUCUUUUUAAAAACUGUUCUUUCUCUUAACCGACAUAAACCAUGUGAGCUAACAUGGAGUCUAACGUCUUGACCUACUAAGGAAGAAACCUCACGUUAGGGAAGGUGUCAUACUUUUGCCAGGGAGUAUAACCUAAUUCAGGUGAUCGAUCACAAGCUAAAUCUGUCAUCCAUAUAAAUGGGAAUAAUCUCAAUUAGUUCCUACGUUGGCUCGUAGUUCUGUGAAAGAUAGGACACGCUAAUUCCACACUUUCUGCUCGGUGCUAAAUAUUACUCCCUCUUAAAUCUGCAUGCUCAAACCAUUGGAAAUCCACUUUUUAAAACUAACAUAAGGGUUCAUAUGAAAAACCAAUUAUGCAUUUAUAUGAGUAAAUCUGUAAAUAAAGCUAAUCUAAGUUUUGUAAACUGUACUAAUCUGUAAAGUGGAUUCCAAAGCUAAACCAAUGAUCAAAAGAUCAAAGCUUUUCUGAAAAAUUAAAAAUAAUCUGCUCAUAAGAUACUUAAAACAUCAUCUUUCUUGAACUAAUACUAUUCAAUCUUAGGGUAGUAACCUAUACAUCAUUCUCAUAUUAAAUCAUAAUAAUCAUGCUUCAUAGUGUAAAUAUUGAUACAACAACUCAAAAUCUGAAAAUUUCAGCAAUAUGCAUGAAAAUAUGAACAUAAGCAUGGAAUUCAAUUUCUAAAUCAUUGAAAAUAUCAUAAGCUUGUAAAUAACAAUAAUGGGUAUAAACCCUAACUUGAAUUUCAUGGAAACUCAUAUAAAAUUUAGUAAGUUUGUAAUUAAAAUAAGUUUUGGACACAAGAAUGAAAGGAGUAUCCUUGUUCAUAACCCCACAUACCUUAAUUGAUGAUUUUUUAUGAAAAGCUUGAAUCUUGGAUUCCUAUAAAUGCUUUGAAGAUGAAUUCCUAGAGUUCUUGUGUUGGGGAUCCUCAAUCUUGAAUUUCUUUGAAGAAUUAAUGGAAGAAUUUAAAUUUCUUGGGGAGAAAGUUUUGAUGAGCUAGGGUUUUGCUUGAGAGAGAUUUGAUGAAAAGUGGAUGUAAAGUGCUUUGAAGGGGUUUAAUUCACUGUUUAAGACGGAUUAGGGGCUGGGAGGAUGACCAAAGUACCCAUUUUUUAAUAAUUAAAUGGAUUGAAAAACACAUAUUUUUUUGAACUGGGUGGCCACCGCGACGCGCCAUUAUUGCGAUGGCUCACUGAAAAUUGACAAAUGAAAACUGGGUAGACUCCACAAUGCAGAGCCAUCGUGGUGCCCCUUUGGAGUGCCAUUUUUGCACAUAGCGCGACGCGUCAUUAUCACGCUGGACCUCUGAAAAUUAACGAAUGGGAAAUUGUCCCUCUCCGCAAUGCGCCAAUAUCAUAGAGGGCCACUGAAAAUUGACAAUCGCUAUUUAAACUCUCUAUGCGACGCGCUAGUGAUCAAAAUGAGGGUGCUUUAUGACUGAAAAUUAAAAUAGCCAUAACUCCUUCACCGAGUGUCGGAUUUAGGCGAAUUUGGUAUCAAUGAAAAUUUUAUUCAAUUUCUCAUGCAAUGGGAAGUCUAAAUCUGAAGAAUUCUCCAUGAAAUAAAUAGUAUUCAUUUCGGAGACUAUCCCUUAACAUUCUAGGGAUGAAUUUAAGUUAAGAAGGUAUGGGAUAUUACACUUAGCAAUUUCUUUGAAAAGAGAAUUUAAUAACUAGGAUAGAACCAUAUCAUUACAUCUUGACCAAAUUCUUCGAAGUUAUGUAUCAUCAUUACUAUAUGUUAGGGAUCCAUCAAAGAAUCCUACAUUAUUUUUUGCUGAGAGAGCUAUAAUAGUUGUCCUUCUCCAUCCAUCAUAGCUUCUUUCAUCAAAGAUUGAUGAAAACUAGGUUCAUACCUGGAUGAUCAGAAGGAUGCAUGUCGAAAGCAUAUGAAGAAUCCACUAUAGUGAUUGCAUGGGACACUAUCACUUCUUCCAGAUUUAAAGUGUUAACAACAGAAGGUGAUUUUGAGAAUGAUACAACAUCAGACAUCUUAAAAAAACGAUAAAAAAGAAUUAAGGACUGAAAUUUAAAAACCUCCUCUGAUAUUAUGCAAAAAUAAAUAAAGCAAAAUAUAAAAA